GCGCAGCUGAUGCAGCGACGCCGCGUGCGGGAUGACGGCCUUCGGGUUGUAAACCGCUUUUGAUCGGGAGCAAGCCUUCGGGUGAGUGUACCUUUCGAAUAAGCACCGGCUAACUACGUGCCAGCAGCCGCGGUAAUACGUAGGGUGCAAGCGUUAUCCGGAAUUAUUGGGCGUAAAGGGCUCGUAGGCGGUUCGUCGCGUCCGGUGUGAAAGUCCAUCGCUUAACGGUGGAUCUGCGCCGGGUACGGGCGGGCUGGAGUGCGGUAGGGGAGACUGGAAUUCCCGGUGUAACGGUGGAAUGUGUAGAUAUCGGGAAGAACACCAAUGGCGAAGGCAGGUCUCUGGGCCGUUACUGACGCUGAGGAGCGAAAGCGUGGGGAGCGAACAGGAUUAGAUACC
rnacentral:rRNA from 1 species